CCUACGGGUGGCUGCAGUGGGGAAUAUUGGACAAUGGGGGCAACCCUGAUCCAGCCAUGCCGCGUGUGUGAAGAAGGCCCUCGGGUUGUAAAGCACUUUCAGUGAGGAAGAACGCCUGGUGGUUAAUACCCAUCAGGAAAGACAUCACUCACAGAAGAAGCACCGGCUAACUCCGUGCCAGCAGCCGCGGUAAUACGGAGGGUGCGAGCGUUAAUCGGAAUUACUGGGCGUAAAGCGCGCGUAGGUGGCUUGAUAAGCCGGUUGUGAAAGCCCCGGGCUCAACCUGGGAACGGCAUCCGGAACUGUCAAGCUAGAGUGCAGGAGAGGAAGGUAGAAUUCCCGGUGUAGCGGUGAAAUGCGUAGAGAGCGGGAGGAAUACCAGUGGCGAAGGCGGCCUUCUGGACUGACACUGACACUGAGGUGCGAAAGCGUGGGUAGCAAACAGGAUUAGAUACCCUGGUAGUC
rnacentral:rRNA from 1 species